rnacentral:tRNA from 4 species
GCGGGCGUAGUUCAGCGGUAGAACGUCAGCUUCCCAAGCUGAAUGUCGUCGGUUCGAUCCCGAUCGCCCGCUCCA